GAAGCUAACGCGUUAAGUCGACCGCCUGGGGAGUACGGCCGCAAGGUUAAAACUCAAAUGAAUUGACGGGGGCCCGCACAAGCGGUGGAGCAUGUGGUUUAAUUCGAUGCAACGCGAAGAACCUUACCUACUCUUGACAUCCAGAGAACUUAGCAGAGAUGCUUUGGUGCCUUCGGGAACUCCGAGACAGGUGCUGCAUGGCUGUCGUCAGCUCGUGUUGUGAAAUGUUGGGUUAAGUCCCGCAACGAGCGCAACCCUUAUCCUUUGUUGCCAGCGCGUGAUGGCGGGAACUCAAAGGAGACUGCCGGUGAUAAACCGGAGGAAGGUGGGGAUGACGUCAAGUCAUCAUGGCCCUUACGAGUAGGGCUACACACGUGCUACAAUGGCGUAUACAAAGGGAAGCGACCCCGCGAGGGCAAGCGGAACUCAUAAAGUACGUCGUAGUCCGGAUUGGAGUCUGCAACUCGACUCCAUGAAGUCGGAAUCGCUAGUAAUCGUAGAUCAGAAUGCUACGGUGAAUACGUUCCCGGGCCUUGUACACACCGCCCGUCACACCAUGGGAGUGGGUUGCAAAAGAAGUAGGUAGCUUAACCUUCGGGAGGGCGCUUACCACUNUGUGAUUCAUGACUGGGGUGAAGUCGUAACAAGGUAACCAAGGGCGAAUUCGCG
rnacentral:rRNA from 1 species